AGUGGCUACUGCUUGACUGAACACUUUACCGAGCUGUCCUAUGGUGCUCUUCACCGAGUGUCAUAGGCGAUCGGUACGUUUACUUUGAAAAAAUUAGAGUGCUCAAAGCAGGCUUUCAAGCCCGAAUAAUGUUGCAUGGAAUAAUGGAAUAGGACCUCGGUUCUAUUUUGUUGGUCUUCGGAAUCUGAGGUAAUGAUCAAUAGGGACAGACGGGGUCAUUCGUAUUGCGGCGCUAGAGGUGAAAUUCUUGGACCGUCGCAAGACGAACUAAAGCGAAAGCAUUUGACAAGAAUGUUUUCAUUAAUCAAGAACGAAAGUUAGAGGUUCGAAGGCGAUCAGAUACCGCCCUAGUUCUAACCAUAAACGAUGCCAACCAGUAAUUCGCCUGAGUUCCUUAAAUGACUCGGCGAGGGACUUCCGGGAAACCAAAGUCUUUCGGUUCCAGGGGAAGUAUGGUUGCAAAGCUGAAACUUAAAGAAAUUGACGGAAGGGCACCACCAGGAGUGGAGCCUGCGGCUUAAUUUGACUCAACACGGGAAAACUCACCCGGCCCGGACACUGGAAGGAUUGACAGAUUGAGAGCUCUUUCUUGAUUCAGUGGGUGGUGGUGCAUGGCCGUUCUUAGUUGGUGGAGUGAUUUGUCUGGUUAAUUCCGAUAACGAACGAGACUCUAGCCUACUAAAUAGAUUGUCGGCUUACAAACGCCGACAAGACUUCUUAGAGGGACAGGCGG
rnacentral:rRNA from 1 species